GAAAUGCGAUAAGUAAUGUGAAUUGCAGAAUUCAGUGAAUCAUCGAAUCUUUGAACGCACAUUGCGCCCCCUGGUAUUCCGGGGGGCAUGCCUGUUCGAGCGUCAUUUCACCACUCAAGCCUCGCUUGGUAUUGGGCAACGCGGUCCGCCGCGUGCCUCAAAUCGACCGGCUGGGUCUUCUGUCCCCUAAGCGUUGUGGAAACUAUUCGCUAAAGGGUGCUCGGGAGGCUACGCCGUAAAACAAACCCGUUUCUAAGGUUGACCUCGGAUCAGGUAGGGAUACCCGCUGAACUUAAGC
rnacentral:misc_RNA from 1 species